rnacentral:lncRNA from 1 species
GGAAAUGUUUCUUCUUCCCGGGGGCGAAGGGCUGGCAAGUGAGCGGUUUGGCAGAGAGGAGCGGGAGGCCGGGCCGGGACGCGGUGUGCGCGGAGCGGCGGGGGAGGGUGGUGGAGUAAGGUGGCGGGGACCGCUAAGGGUGGGGUGACUGGAAGGAGCGGGCGGGAGGGCGGCGCGCCGGCCGGGGCGCGAGUGUGUCCGGCGGGGGCGCGCGCCGCCGCGGAGGGGAAAGGGGUUAGCUGCGAACUGGCCCCCUGGGGGAGUCCCGGGAACUCGCUCCAGGCGCUGGGAGGCAGCGUCCUGCCAGCCGGAGGGGCGCCGAGGCGGGAGCCGAGAGGGUAGUAGAGCCACAUCCUGGACCCUGCACUAUUUUCUACCAGUAACAUAGCAUGCUGGGUGCCAAUGGCUGUGUUUCCCUACACCCCCACUGCCUCUCACCUUCCUGGAGACACUGUGAAAUACAAUGCACAGGAGAUGGUAUCAUUGGGACAGCUGACUUCUUACAGGAUUGAAACAGAAUCAAGGAAUUAAGAAAUGGUAACACUUGAAAACCAUGUUGAAGGUGAGGAAAUCUUGGCAGGCUCAACAACAUCAUUUUCCUUUGAGAAACAACACCAGUGUUUGGAAAUCCCAGAAGAUGUCUCAAGAUUAUAACACCCUUGAGAAAAUGAGCUCAUUUUUCGUCAUAUCAAAAAUAAAUCAGAUACGUGCAUGUACUUUAUUGUUCUAAAUGAAGAAUUUUGUGCACUCAGAAAAUAAAAGUAAGUAUGUGAAAAAUACUCUGUGCAUAGCAUAUACUUGACAAAUGUUAGCUGUGACGAUUAACCCCUAUAUAACAUUAGAGGAAA